UUACAGCAUAGCUAUAAAAAGUUUGUUAAUUUUUGAAAUGUUGAUAAAAGUGUUAUUUUUUAUCGCUAUUUGUCUCUUUUUUGGAAGCAAUGCAGAAGUUAAAAUUAAAUCUACUAAAACGUAUAAUUAUCCUCGGCUUUUUAGGGAUCAUGUUUAUACUUCGUUAAGCGAGAAUGGAAAGAAAUUGUUCUUCGCUGUUGACAUACACCCAUCCUGCACGGAAAAAAAUGGAGCAUGUAUUCGAAGAAAUCAAUGUCUUGAGAAGAAAAUGUUAUAUAUAUCAAGAGCAUGCUAUAAACGAGAUUUAGUGUGCUGUUACGAUAAUACAAUCCGCUUCCCAACAGUCGAACAUGUUACCCGAUGUACCGAUUGUACUGAAGGAAAGUCAAACAUAGGAGUUUAAAAUAAAUCAAAAAUAAUUUCUAUUGACAUUACGAUUGUUCUAAAUUUUAUUAUUCGAAACAUUCAUGCACCAAUCAUCUAGCUCGGAAAUAAAACUAUUUAAUGUCUACAAAAAGUAAAAUGUCAUGAAAAGUUUUGUAUAACUGCGUCAAAAUUGUCCCAAUUUUAGUUAGUGGCUGAAACUCGGCGUACAAAUAAAUUCGUUUAAAUAUAAUAUGUGACUAUCACGUUUAAUACAUUUACAAGAGCUUUUGUUACCAAAUAUUAC